CCUACGGGUGGCAGCAGUGAGGAAUAUUGGUCAAUGGACGCAAGUCUGAACCAGCCAUGCCGCGUGCAGGAAGACGGCUCUAUGAGUUGUAAACUGCUUUUGUACGAGGGUAAACGCAGAUACGCGUAUCUGUCUGAAAGUAUCGUACGAAUAAGGAUCGGCUAACUCCGUGCCAGCAGCCGCGGUAAUACGGAGGAUUCAAGCGUUAUCCGGAUUUAUUGGGUUUAAAGGGUGCGUAGGCGGUCGGAUAAGUUAGAGGUGAAAUCCCGAGGCUCAACUUCGGAAUUGCCUCUGAUAGUGUUCGGCGAGAGAGUAGUUGCGGUAGGCAGAAUGUAUGGUUGAGCGGUGAAAUGCUUAGAGAUCAUACAGAACACCGAGUGCGAAGGCAGCUUACCAAGCUACUUCUGACGUUGAGGCACGAAAGCGUGGGGAGCAAACAGGAUUAGAUACCCGGGUAGUC
rnacentral:rRNA from 1 species